AACUUUUGGCAAUGGAUCACUUGGCUCUCGCAUCGAUGAAGAACGCAGCGAAAUGCGAUAAGUAAUGUGAAUGGCAGAAUUCAGUUAAUCAUCGAAUCUUUGAACGCACAUUGCGCCCCUUGGUAUUCCGGGGGGCAUGCCUGUUCGAGCGGCAUUAUAACCCAUCCAGCCUAGCUGGGUGUUGGGUCUCGCUAUACGGCGGGCCUUAAAAUCAGUGGCGGUGCUCUCAGGCUCUACGCGUAGUAACUUUCUCGCUAUAGAGCCCUGAGAGGUGCUUGCUAGCAACCCCUCAUUUCUUAGGUUGACCUCGGCUCAGGUAGGGAUACCCGCUGAACUUAAGCAUAUCAAUAAGCGGAGGCU
rnacentral:misc_RNA from 1 species